rnacentral:lncRNA from 1 species
UCAAAUGCAACAUUGAACCCCUCAGGUAACUUUCAUUGAACAUUUGCCAGAGGUGGUAUAUCGUGACCACACACCCGGGUUUCUCUGCGUGUGUGGUGAGUAUCCUACACACCUUCAACUAAGGGGUAGGUUAAGCCGGGCACGCUCUAAAGAAGCAGCACAACUCCUCCGCUAGAGGGUUGAGCGGGAAAAUGUACCCGAUCCAGAAUGCAUACUCGUAAAAAGUACAGAACCCGGGCCUAUGCACGUUGGCUCCUCUAUGGCAGGAACUAUUUCGAUGUGAUCCGAGAACCCAUAUGCCAUCCUGAGGGUAUCCAAGUGAGAUGGCGUCAAUUCACUGUGUUCCCAGGGUGGGGGUGUGCUUUUGCGACUAAAGUCAU